rnacentral:rRNA from 1 species
AUGAGGCGAACGACGAGCUUGAGGGAGGUCGCGCCGCCGUCCGUGUUGGCGGUGGUGUUGGAGGACGAGGACGAGGACGAGCAGGCCAAGGCGGUGGUGCAGGCCGAAGAAGGUGGCGCCGGCGGGGGGCAGGACUGGCUGGCGGCCCUAGGCGGCGGCAGCGGGGCCCCCGGGACGGACUGGCUCGCGGCGUACCGCGCGCGCGCGGCGCCGGCGCGGGCGGGGCUCCGGCGCAACUCGGCCGACUACUCCAAGGUCGAGACGGCCGCGUUCCUCCGCCACUGCGGCCUCUGCCGCCGCCUCCUCGGCCCCGGCCGCGACACCUUCAUGUACAAGGGCGAGGCGGCCUUCUGCAGCCUGGAGUGCCGGCAGCAGCACAUAACGCACGAGGAGUGGAAGGACAAGUGCACGCCAAGGUCCAUGAGCGAGGCGGCGGCGCCGGCGACCAGCCGCGGCCGCUCCGGCAAGACCGACACCGGCGGCACGGUGGCGGCGGCCUAA